ACCAGCACGUUAUGGUGGGCACUCUAAGGAGACUGCCGGUGACAAACCGGAGGAAGGUGGGGGAUGACGUCAAGUCAUCAUGGCCCUUACGGCCUGGGCUACACACGUGCUACAAUGGUCGGUACAAAGGGUUGCCAAGCCGCGAGGUGGAGCUAAUCCCAUAAGACCGAUCGUAGUCCGGAUCGCAGUCUGCAACUCGACUGCGUGAAGUCGGAAUCGCUAGUAAUCGUGAAUCAGAAUGUCACGGUGAAUACGUUCCCGGGCCUU
rnacentral:rRNA from 1 species